AUUGAACGCUGGCGGCAGGCCUAACACAUGCAAGUCGAGCGGAUGAGUGGAGCUUGCUCCAUGAUUCAGCGGCGGACGGGUGAGUAAUGCCUAGGAAUCUGCCUGGUAGUGGGGGACAACGUUUCGAAAGGAACGCUAAUACCGCAUACGUCCUACGGGAGAAAGUGGGGGAUCUUCGGACCUCACGCUAUCAGAUGAGCCUAGGUCGGAUUAGCUAGUUGGUGAGGUAAAGGCUCACCAAGGCGACGAUCCGUAACUGGUCUGAGAGGAUGAUCAGUCACACUGGAACUGAGACACGGUCCAGACUCCUACGGGAGGCAGCAGUGGGGAAUAUUGGACAAUGGGCGAAAGCCUGAUCCAGCCAUGCCGCGUGUGUGAAGAAGGUCUUCGGAUUGUAAAGCACUUUAAGUUGGGAGGAAGGGCAGUAGGUUAAUACCUUGCUGUUUUGACGUUACCAACAGAAUAAGCACCGGCUAACUUCGUG
rnacentral:rRNA from 1 species